rnacentral:lncRNA from 1 species
AUUUAACACUUUGUAAAACACAUUUAUUGUCUCUUUCUGAACGCUCUGUUCUAUAUUUCUUUAUUACAGCACAACAGGAACAAAUGUAGCUGUAAUUCUGACAGAGAACUGUCCCAAAAUCCCAGUGACAGUCCCGUCUACUACCCCGUCACCAUCAUCAACAACUGCAGUCUCCAGCGCUAGCACUACAGUCACCGUGACCAGCACGACUGAUAAUAAUACAACUACACUCCAGAAAUCCACCACUCCUUCGGUGACAACAGUGGCUAAUAUAACCAGCAACACAACUACCCUGAACACCACUGUUCCAGGUGUUCCCAACAUUCCAACAUCUACAGCAACAACAGUUACAACAAUCACAGUCAACACCACAGCCUCUACGACCUCCUCAGCGAGUGCAGAGCUGGCAGCUGAAGGUCUGCUGAACCAGAGCAAGAACGUUUCAGCUCUGAACUCCACUCAGGUGGAGAAUCUGGUGUCUCAGCUAGAGCAGCUUCUCUCAGGGCCUAACGUCAGCCUGGCUCUGGGGAACACCACUGUCAACAUCGUCAGCAAUCUGCUGGAUGCACCCAGUCAGGCACUGGGAACCAGUUCAAACAGGAUCAUUGGAUUAGUGGACACUGUUGGUUUGAAGCUGGUGGUUCAGGGACAGUCUCAGAGUAUUCUCUCUCCUGCUCUGGCUCUGGCAGUGAAAACUGUUGGGGCUGAGUUUCAGCAGACCACGUUCACCAUGACAGACUCCUCCAACCUGCAGGUACAACUUCCUUAAACAAAUAUUUUAACCAUAUUUCUAUAAAGUGUAAAAUCUCUGUAACUGAAACACUGCACAGCUUUUCAUAGCGUGGAAAGUCUGCUUAUUUUCAUUUGUUUAGUGACUAAAAAAUGCUGGAGAUCUGCUGAGAUGGAGAGAUGUUGUACAUAA